rnacentral:rRNA from 1 species
UACGGGGGGAGCAAGCGUUGUUCGGAUUUACUGGGCGUAAAGAGCGCGCAGGCGGUCGUUCAAGUCGAGUGUGAAAGCCCCCGGCUCAACUGGGGAGGGUCAUUCGAUACUGAUCGACUCGAAGGCAGGAGAGGGAAGCGGAAUUCCCGGUGUAGUGGUGAAAUGCGUAGAUAUCGGGAGGAACACCAGUGGCGAAGGCGACUACCUGGCCUGUUCUUGACGCUGAGGCGCGAAAGCUAGGGGAGCAAACGGG